rnacentral:rRNA from 1 species
UACGGAGGGAGCUAGCGUUAUUCGGAAUUACUGGGCGCAAAGCGCACGUAGGCGGCUUUGUAAGUAAGAGGUGAAAGCCCAGAGCUCAACUCUGGAAUUGCCUUUUAGACUGCAUCGCUUGAAUCAUGGAGAGGUCAGUGGAAUUCCGAGUGUAGAGGUGAAAUUCGUAGAUAUUCGGAAGAACACCAGUGGCGAAGGCGGCUGACUGGACAUGUAUUGACGCUGAGGUGCGAAAGCGUGGGAGCACACAGG